UAAAAGCUGUAACUUUAGCUAUUUCAGAAAUGCUCAUUCUCUUACAGCCAAAUCACAUCCCACAAAUGCAGGUGGAGAGAAGAUGAGCUUGCUCAUUGCUCUGAUGUACUGAGAGCCAUCCAGGCAUGAAAAUUUCAGGCUGCUCAUGGGUAGCAGGGCCCUGUUAGUGUAAUAUCUGAGCAAUGGAGUCUGUGCUUGGAUUGCCUCCAGAUACACCUAAAAGUGGAGACAGUGUAGGAAAGAACCUGUUAGUUGUUCUUAUAGAAUGACUAAGACAAUGAGUAUAUUGCACUGACAGUAUAUGUAUAUUUAUCUAUAUGUAUAUGUAGAGAGACGAAAACAACACUUUCACAUUAUGAUUGUGCAUUAGGUUGCAUAAUAUUAA